CCCUUGUGUCGCGAUUAGUUGAUCCAUACCCGCAUAGAGGAUUUACCGCUAUACCGCACAAAAAGGAUCCGUGCAUCCGUGUGUGUGUGACGCUCGGCACUUCACCUGUCGGUGAAACGGGAAAAUCCGACUCGCGCCUCAUCUGAAAUUUUGCCUCACAUGCUGUGGCUGUAUAAACACUUCUUCUCAGCAGUCAUUUUUAUAAGAGAAGGCUCAUGGAUACGGGGAUCGAGACGGCAUCGCGCAUAUGUCCAAACCUUUCCAGGAAACAGUUCCUUUGCCUGCGCAAGUCCUGAAACAAAACGCGCUGUGUACCCGACCGUCGCAGUGGCACCAGCCGCGGUCCGCGGAUGACUCUGUAGCCCUCCUGUUCCGUGUCCCAUUUUCGAUUUUCAUGAGCAACACAGACGUGUGGGAAAGUUGGUGGCCGCCGGUGCGUCUAACGUCGCGAACCCUUCAGGAAGGCGUCGCCUUUCUGUUUUCUUUUUGGAGAUGAGCUCCGGCUCCUCAGAGAAGCUCUCCGGGAAGUGGAGAAGCGAAUGACGCUCGUCUCCUCCAAGAUAUGGUCAGAGAAGACAGUCAGAACGCCAAAGAACAAGCAAGGCACACUGCAAAUCGCGUGCUGAUCGCAGUUUUAGAAACGAAGGCAGAAAGCACCAACACUUCCCAGUGCAUCCGAGAGUGAUGAUCCCUCCCUAGUAGAUGACCUUCCAGUGCUUCACCUACUGAGUAACUCUGGAUGAGCACUUUUUCCCCCCGGCAUGUAGGGAUAACCCUCGACUCGUUCAUGGUCUAUCCCUUGUUCUUUGGCGUUAAAAGGCAGAAAAGGAUCCCUCCUGUUUGGUUGUAACUGAGGAUCACUGUUUUGCCUUUCUGGACUGAGGUACCCCCUUCGGGAUUGCGCCGCUUCCUUAUCCUGAAACAGCGGCGCCGUCAGCCUCUUCUUCUACGGUUACUCUCAUGGUUUCCAUCGCGUAAAAACCGAGCGGGG
rnacentral:lncRNA from 1 species